GGGUAAGUCAUUGUCAAGUUUAAUUCCAUAUUUCCAUUCUUUUCCAUCAACUAAAUAUUCAAUUGCGCUUCUCUUCCACUCUCUAUAUAUUUGGUGAACAAAUAUAUAACAUUUCUUUGCUAAUUAUUAUCACUUGAGAUACCUUUUUGACUUAUUUUUUGAUAAGUGGCUUGAUGUGCCUUCUGUCUACUUAUUGUACCUAGUGGAAUUGCUGGUUACCUGACUUGGCACUUUAGUGAUCUCUCUCUCUUGGUGGCAGUGGUAAAGAGAAAGGGAGAAG
rnacentral:misc_RNA from 1 species